UACGUAGGUGACAAGCGUUGUCCGGAUUUACUGGGCGUAAAGAGCGCGCAGGCGGUCGAUCAAGUCGAGUGUGAAAGCCCCCGGCUCAACUGGGGAGGGUCAUUCGAUACUGAUCGACUCGAAGGCAGGAGAGGGUAGUGGAAUUCCCGGUGUAGUGGUGAAAUGCGUAGAUAUCGGGAGGAACACCAGUGGCGAAGGCGACUACCUGGCCUGUUCUUGACGCUGAGGCGCGAAAGCUAGGGGAGCAACGG
rnacentral:rRNA from 1 species